UUGCAGAAUUCCGCGAAUCAUCGAGUCUUUGAACGCAAGUUGCGCCCGAGGCUUGUCCGAGGGCAUUUCCGCUAGAGCGUCAC
rnacentral:rRNA from 1 species